CCUACGGGUGGCUGCAGUAGGGAAUCUUCGGCAAUGGACGAAAGUCUGACCGAGCAACGCCGCGUGAGUGAAGAAGGUUUUCGGAUCGUAAAACUCUGUUGUUAGAGAAGAACAAGGAUGAGAGUAAAACGUUCAUCCCUUGACGGUAUCUAACCAGAAAGCCACGGCUAACUACGUGCCAGCAGCCGCGGUAAUACGUAGGUGGCAAGCGUUGUCCGGAUUUAUUGGGCGUAAAGCGAGCGCAGGCGGUUUCUUAAGUCUGAUGUGAAAGCCCCCGGCUCAACCGGGGAGGGUCAUUGGAAACUGGGAGACUUGAGUGCAGAAGAGGAGAGUGGAAUUCCAUGUGUAGCGGUGAAAUGCGUAGAUAUAUGGAGGAACACCAGUGGCGAAGGCGGCUCUCUGGUCUGUAACUGACGCUGAGGCUCGAAAGCGUGGGGAGCGAACAGGAUUAGAUACCCCUGUAGUC
rnacentral:rRNA from 1 species